CCUACGGGCGGCAGCAGUGGGGAAUAUUGGACAAUGGGGGCAACCCUGAUCCAGCCAUGCCGCGUGUGUGAAGAAGGCCCUCGGGUUGUAAAGCACUUUCAGUGAGGAAGAACGCCUGGUGGUUAAUACCCAUCAGGAAAGACAUCACUCACAGAAGAAGCACCGGCUAACUCCGUGCCAGCAGCCGCGGUAAUACGGAGGGUGCGAGCGUUAAUCGGAAUUACUGGGCGUAAAGCGCGCGUAGGUGGCUUGAUAAGCCGGUUGUGAAAGCCCCGGGCUCAACCUGGAACGGCAUCCGGAACUGUCAAGCUAGAGUGCAGGAGAGGAAGGUAGAAUUCCCGGUGUAGCGGUGAAAUGCGUAGAGAUCGGGAGGAAUACCAGUGGCGAAGGCGGCCUUCUGGACUGACACUGACACUGAGGUGCGAAAGCGUGGGUAGCAAACAGGAUUAGAUACCCUGGUAGUC
rnacentral:rRNA from 1 species